rnacentral:lncRNA from 1 species
CCUGGUUCUAUGCCUUUAUAUAUUAGUUAAAAGUGGCAUAUAUUCAAGAUCAUUGAUGCUGUACUGUUAUUGACUAAUUAACUGUUGUCUGCUUUCUUAAAAUUGACAUUGUUGUGAAUCUGUUUACUGUUAUUAUGAGAGAAAAAAUACCCCUAUUUUUUUAUUUUUUUUUUUUAAUUAACGGUAAUCUUAUUUAUUGACCUGUUAAUGGAACCUUUCUUGCCCCCUUUUAAGAUAAGAAAAUAUGUUUACGAUUUUCGGGAUUACGAUCAUUUUGCAAGAUCACCAAAAUACGUUGUAAUUUUUACAAUACUUAUAUGAAGUAGAUGAUGUGUAUGUUUGUUGUCAAUGGACAAAUUUCCAUAAGAAACCAAAGGAAGUAUGUGUUAACAACCAUACGUCAUCGUACGACCUUCAACAAUAACC